rnacentral:rRNA from 1 species
GGAUCGCGCAAGUCAGGCCAACCUAGAGCCCGUGAAAAGGCGAGCACACUGUCCGUACCGAGAUCCGACACAGGUACUCAUGGCGGCGAAAGCCAAGGUCUGUCGGGGGCAACCGACGUUAGGGAAUUCGGCAAGUUAGUCCCGUACGUUCGCAAUAAGGGAUGCCUGCCUCGCGAAGAGGCAGGUCGCAGUGACUCGGACGCUCCGACUGUCUAGUAACAACAUAGGUGACCGCAAAUCCGCAAGGACUCGUACGGUCACUGAAUCCUGCCCAGUGCAGGUAUCUGAACACCCCGUACAAGGGGACGAAGGACCUGUUAACGGCGGGGGUAACUAUGACCCUCUUAAGGUAGCGUAGUACCUUGCCGCUUCAGUAGCGGCUUGCAUGAAUGGAUCAACGAGAGCGUCACUGUCCCAACGUUGGGCCCGGUGAACUGUACGUUCCAGUGCGGAGUCUGGAGACCCCCAAGGGGAAGCGAAGACCCUAUAGAGCUUUACUGCAGGCUGUCACUGAGACGUGGUCGCCAUUGUGCAGCAUAGGUAGGAGGCNUACACAGGUACCCGCGCUAGCGGGCCACCGAGCCAGCAUUGAAAUACUACCCGAUGGUGACUGCGACUCUCACUCCUGGCGGAGGACACUGGUAGCCGGGCAGUUUGACUGGGGCGGUACGCGCCUGAAAAGAUAUCGGGCGCGCCCCAAGAUUUCCUCACCCGUGUCAGAGACGCGGGGAAGAGCGCAAGAGCAAAAGGAAGUCUGACAGUGUCCGGCACAACGACGGACGCUGACGCGAAAGCGUGGUCUAGCGAACCAAUUAGGCUGCUUGAUGCGGCCAAUUGCUGACAGAAAAGCUACCUUAGGGAUAACAGAGUCGUCACCCGCAAGAGCACAUAUCGACCGGGUGGCUUGCUACCUCGAUGUCGGUUCCCUCCAUCCUGCCCGUGCAGAAGCGGGCAAGGGUGAGGUUGUUCGCCUAUUAAAGGAGGUCGUGAGCUGGGUUUAGACCGUCGUGAGACAGGUCGGCUGCUAUCUAUUGGGGGGGUUACGGUAUCUGACGGGAACGUUCGUAUAGUACGAGAGGAACUACGAAUGGGUGCCACUCGUGUACCGGCUGUCCGAAAGGGCACGUGCCGGGCAGCGACGCACCACGGGGUAAGAGCUGAACGCAUCUAAGCUCGAAACCCACCUGGAAAAGAGA